GACGAACGCUGGCGGCGUGCUUAACACAUGCAAGUCGAACGGAAAGGCCCUGCUUUUGUGGGGUGCUCGAGUGGCGAACGGGUGAGUAACACGUGAGUAACCUGCCCUUGACUUUGGGAUAACUUCAGGAAACUGGGGCUAAUACCGGAUAGGAGCCCCUGCUGCAUGGUGGGGGUUGGAAAGGUUCGGCGGUUGGUGAUGGACUUGCGGCUUAUCAGCUUGUUGGUGGGGUAGUGGCUUACCAAGGCUUUGACGGGUAGCCGGCCUGAGGGGGUGACCGGCCACAUGGGGACUGAGAUACGGCCCAGACUCCUACGGGAGGCAGCAGUGGGGAAUAUUGCACAAUGGGCGGAAGCCUGAUGCAGCAACGCCGCGUGCGGGAUGACGGCCUUCGGGUUGUAAACCGCUUUCGCCUGUGACGAAGCGUGAGUGACGGUAAUGGAUAAAGAAGCACCGGCUAACUACGUG
rnacentral:rRNA from 1 species